ACAAUGGAGAGUUUGAUCCUGGCUCAGGAUGAACGCUAGCGGCAGGCCUAAUACAUGCAAGUCGGACGGGAUUUUGGAGCUUGCUCCAGAUGAGAGUGGCGCACGGGUGCGUAACACGUAUGUAACCUACCUUGUUCAGGGGGAUAGCCUCUCGAAAGAGAGAUUAAGACCGCAUAACGUAAUUGAAUGGCAUCAUUUAAUUACCAAAUAUUUAUAGGAACAAGAUGGGCAUGCGGAACAUUAGCUAGUUGGUAAGGUAACGGCUUACCAAGGCUACGAUGUUUAGGGGAUCUGAGAGGAUUACCCCCCACACUGGUACUGAGACACGGACCAGACUCCUACGGGAGGCAGCAGUAAGGAAUAUUGGUCAAUGGACGGAAGUCUGAACCAGCCAUGCCGCGUGCAGGAAGACGGCCCUACGGGUUGUAAACUGCUUUUAUACGGGAAUAAACCUAUCUACGUGUAGAUAGCUGAAUGUACUGUAAGAAUAAGGAUCGGCUAACUCCGUGCCAGCAGCCGCGGUAAUACGGAGGAUCCAAGCGUUAUCCGGAUUUAUUGGGUUUAAAGGGUGCGUAGGUGGCCUGUUAAGUCAGGGGUGAAAGACGGUAGCUCAACUAUCGCAGUGCCCUUGAUACUGAUGGGCUUGAAUGGACUAGAGGUAGGCGGAAUGUGACAAGUAGCGGUGAAAUGCAUAGAUAUGUCACAGAACACCGAUUGCGAAGGCAGCUUACUAUGGUCCGAUUGACACUGAGGCACGAAAGCGUGGGGAUCAAACAGGAUUAGAUACCCUGGUAGUCCACGCCCUAAACGAUGAAUACUCGAUGUUGGCGAUAUACGGUCAGCGUCUAAGCGAAAGCGUUAAGUAUUCCACCUGGGGAGUACGCCCGCAAGGGUGAAACUCAAAGGAAUUGACGGGGGCCCGCACAAGCGGAGGAGCAUGUGGUUUAAUUCGAUGAUACGCGAGGAACCUUACCCGGGCUUGAAAGUUAGUGAAUGUAGCAGAGACGCUACAGUCCUUCGGGACACGAAACUAGGUGCUGCAUGGCUGUCGUCAGCUCGUGCCGUGAGGUGUUGGGUUAAGUCCCGCAACGAGCGCAACCCCUAUGUUUAGUUGCCAGCAUGUAAUG
rnacentral:rRNA from 1 species